rnacentral:rRNA from 1 species
CGCGUAGGCGGCUUUUCAAGUUGUAUGUGAAAUACCAGGGCUCAACUCUGGGGGUGCAUACAAAACUGGAGAGCUUGAGUGUGGUAGAGGACAGUGGAAUUCCUAGUGUAGCGGUAAAAUGCGUAGAUAUUAGGAGGAACACCAGUGGCGAAGGCGACUGUCUGGGCCGCAACUGACGCUGAGGCGCGAAAGCGUGGGGAGCAAACA